AAGAACGUAGCGAAAUGCGAUAAGUAAUGUGAAUUGCAGAAUUCAGUGAAUCAUCGAAUCUUUGAACGCACAUUGCGCCCGCUAGUAUUCUGGCGGGCAUGCCUGUCCGAGCGUCAUUUCAACCCUCAAGCCCCCGGGCUUGGUGUUGGGGAUCGGCGAGCCUCCGCGCCCGCCGUCCCCUAAAUCUAGUGGCGGUCUCGCUGUAGCUUCCUCUGCGUAGUAGCACACCUCGCACUGGGAAACAGCGCGGCCACGCCGUUAAACCCCCAACUUCUGAACGUUUGACCUCGGAUCAGGUAGGAAUACCCGCUGAACUUAAGCAUAUCAAUAAGCGGAGGA
rnacentral:misc_RNA from 1 species